AUUUCUUAUUUACCUAGGAUCUUCAAUUCCCUAUUUCCCCGACCUAAUUCUUCCGCUUUUCCUUCUAUAUUUCCCCUAAUCUUCCGCUUUUCCUUCCCUUAUUUCCCCUAAUCUGCAAUCCACAAUGUUUUCCUCCGCAGAUUCCUCCAUCAUUCAUCUGUUGCUUCAUAUGAGGAUUUACACGCUCAACAGCGGGAAGAAGAGCUGCAAUCAACAGCAUUCAAUGAUUACGAACAUGAAUUGCGCUCAAUAUUUAAGUCGAGAGCGUGAUAUUGCAUCCGGGACUGCGGCCGAUAUCACCGAGAACCACGACUGCCGCCCUACCUCUCCGCCUCGUCUUCGUCUGAUUAGUAUGUUUAAUUUUGUUAAUUUAGGAUAAUUGAGGAGAUGGUUAAGUUAAUGUUUAAAACAUAUAUAAACAGAUUUUAUUUAGUAGUGUAUUUGGUAUACCGUGAUUGCUAAAUUAAUGUUAUUCCUUUUUGAAUUUGUAUUUUGUUUUGAUUUA